UACGGAGGGUGCAAGGGUUAAUCGGAAUUACUGGGCGUAAAGCGCGCGUAGGCGGCUAGAUAAGUCGGAUGUGAAAGCCCCGGGCUCAACCUGGGAACUGCAUACGAUACUGUCUGGCUAGAGUAUGAGAGAGGGAGGUAGAAUUCCACGUGUAGCAGUGAAAUGCGUAGAUAUGUGGAGGAAUGCCGGUGGCGAAGGCGGCCUCCUGGCUUAAUACUGACGCUGAGGUGCGAAAGCGUGGGGCGCGAACAGG
rnacentral:rRNA from 1 species